UUCACAAGAUGGAAUAUGAACUAAAUGCGGAAGUGUUUAAUGGAUUUUGAUCUCAGAACUAAUGUUUUUUUUUUCAGUCCACGGUUCAGUGAUUGAAUCAUAAGAUUUGUCAGCCCUCCAACAACUUGGUUCUGCUGUGAUGUGGGAUCUGGAGAUGCCCCAGCUGAUGUGUCUGGUGUUGGGUAUUCAUCCUGCUGAAAAUUACCUGUAGAAUGUAUGAACCUAAAAGAAUGCAUAGUUUUUCAGCUCUCAACACCAUAUAUAGGAUCCAUCCAACAGAGGAACAGAGUUUUGGCAAAUAAGUUCUGCUGUGAUGUGGGAUCUGGAGAUGCCCCAGCUGAUGUGUCUGGUGUUGGGUAUUCAUCCUGCUGAAAAUUACCUGUAGAAUGUAUGAACCUAAAAGAAUGCAUAGUUUUUCAGCUCUCAACACCAUAUAUAGGCUCCAUCCAACAGAGGAACAGAGUUUUGGCAAAUAAGUGAGC